AGGGAGGGAGGGGAGAUGAGUUUCAUUUUGCUUUUCCUCAUUGUCCUAAGCAUCUCCCCUGGUGAGGAUUUAUUCUUUGGAAUAAAAACAAAAAUGUUGAACCCAACGCUGAGAGAUUCCCGAUUAUGACACAAUUUCUGCAUUCUUUUAUAGGCAUCCGCUCCACUCCACAGAUAAUCGAGUCUGGUCCAGGACUGGUGAAACCUGGGGAGUCCUUCAAACUGACCUGCAGAGUUUCUGGGGUUCAGCUUGAUAAUUAUUUCUGGCACUGGAUCCGGCAGCCUCCAGGGAAAGGGCUGGAAUGGAUAGCAAUUAUUCACAACACUGCAAAUGGAGGAACCACUGAUAUCAAUUCAGCACUGAGAAGUCAAGCCAGCAUCUCCAAGGACAUCUCCAGAAAUGAAGUGUAUCUCCAGCUGAGCUCCCCAACAGCUGCAGACACAGCAGUGUAUU